GUGCCAGCAGCCGCGGUAAUACGUAGGUGGCAAGCGUUGUCCGGAAUUAUUGGGCGUAAAGCGCGCGCAGGCGGCCUCUUAAGUCUGAUGUGAAAGCCCCCGGCUCAACCGGGGAGGGCCAUUGGAAACUGGGAGGCUUGAGUAUAGGAGAGAAGAGUGGAAAUUCCACGUGUAGCGGUGAAAUGCGUAGAGAUGUGGAGGAACACCAGUGGCGAAGGCGACUCUUUGGGCCUAUAACUGACGCUGAGGCGCGAAAGCGUGGGGAGCAAACAGGAUUAGAUACCCUGGUAGUCC
rnacentral:rRNA from 1 species